CACGUAGGGCGCGAGCGUUGUCCGGAAUUAUUGGGCGUAAAGAGCUCGUAGGCGGCCUGUUGCGUCCGCUGUGAAAGCCCGGGGCUUAACCCCGGGUCGGCAGUGGAUACGGGCAGGCUAGAGGUAGGUAGGGGAGAAUGGAAUUCCCGGUGUAGCGGUGAAAUUCGUAGAUAUUAGGAAGAACACCAGUGGCGAAGGCGGCCAACUGGCCCGAUACUGACGCUCAUGUGCGAAAGCGUGGGGAGCAAACAGG
rnacentral:rRNA from 1 species